UUCACUCAUCAAACAUACAGGACCCCAGCCCUGCUCUUGGAAUAUAUGGUUUGCUGGGGUCACAGAGGGGGAAAUAUAGCGCAUGGCAUGACAGCAUUUCUUCCCUGAAGUCCACAGCCAACCUGAGAUGGACAGCUGAUGUGGCUUUAACAUAUGCCAGGGGAUCAUUUUGGCUUUCAAAGAAAGCCAGAAUCCAGACAAAGCCAAGGUGAUACAAGUGUGAAGAAUUUCAAACAGACCUAAUCAAGACAGAUGGACGAGGGACUUGAUGACAAAUGAAAAUCACUGUUCACAAAAGCAAGACCACCGUUUUACAGCUGAAGAGGAGCUGUGGGUCCCUCCAAAACAUGAGACUGUCAUUAGAGGGGAUUAUUUGAGAAACCUCAGCAAUGCUUCCAGAUUCUUCAGCCUAGGGAGCAAUAUUGCAUUGCAACUGCUACUUGGGAGCAGACAACAGUCACAUAUCUGAUGUCAACAAUAAAGGAGAUCCUGACCAUCCCAGUGGUGAUGCUGGAUAUACGGGAAGCCUCCAUAUAACCUCUACUGCAGUCAUUUUACUUUUAAGGAAAAUAAUCUUGGUGCACCCACCUCGCUGAGCCCAUGAACAUACACACAGGCAUGGUUGGGAGCAUCCAGCAACAAAACUGAGCUAAUAUGUGCAAAUGGGUUUAACCAAACAUACCAACUAUAAAUUGUAUACAGCCAAUAUAUUUAGAUUAAA